rnacentral:misc_RNA from 1 species
GAUGAAGAACGCAGCGAACUGCGAUAAGUAAUGUGAAUUGCAGAAUUCAGUGAAUCAUCGAAUCUUUGAACGCUCAUUGCGCCCGCCAGUAUUCUGGCGGGCAUGCCUGUUCGAGCGUCAUUUCAACCAUCAAGCCCCCGGCUUGUGUUGGGGACCUGCGGCUGCCGCAGGCCCUGAAAAGCAGUGGCGGGCUCGCUGUCACACCGAGCGUAGUAGCAUACAUCUCGCUCUGGGCGUGCUGCGGGUUCCGGCCGUUAAACCACCUUCAUAACCCAAGGUUGACCUCGGAUCAGGUAGGAAGACCCGCUGAACUUAAGCAUAUCAAUAAGCGGAGGA